CCAACGGCCCUCUUUAGGGCCACAUUUCCGAUAUUAAGCCUUCAAG
rfam:Haemonchus contortus, ISE/inbred ISE, WGS project CAVP01000000 data, contig: Hcontortus_contig_pathogens_Hcontortus_scaffold_6894